UACGUAGGGAGCAAGCGUUGUUCGGAAUUAUUGGGCGUAAAGAGCGCGUAGGCGGUUCGGUAAGUCUGACGUGAAAUCCCGGAGCUCAACUCCGGAACUGCGUUGGAUACUGCCGGGCUUGAGUGUGGGAGAGGAGAGUGGAAUUCCCAGUGUAGAGGUGAAAUUCGUAGAUAUUAGGAGGAACACCGGUGGCGAAGGCGGCUACCUGGACCGAUAUUGACGCUGAGACGCGAAAGCGUGGGUAGCAAACAGGAUUAGAAACCCCGGUA
rnacentral:rRNA from 1 species